AACCCUGACUCCCCGGGUCAGUCCACUUCUGCCAGGCAAACACAGACAGUUUCUAGUUGCAAGAUAUCCCCCAUGGCAGAGAAAAAAAAAAGUUUCUUCUGGGAUGCAGACAAUCCAGGAAUCAGUGAUAAUCCACUGACCUUUCUAGGAAGUAAGAGCAAAGAACAAACAGGUUAGAUUCUGAGAAGCUGUUUCUAAGUUUGAUGGUUUUUUUUUUCCUAAGCCUGAGGCACUGAGAAGGGUUCAAGCUUGUAUUCUCCAGAUGCAAGGGUGCAAAUAAAGCCCGAUUUCCACUGGCAGCUAUUAUAACCAGGAGAGGAUCCUGCCUUUGGCUAAGGCCAGCGGAAAGGAAGGCAAAUGGAGAGACACAAAGAGCCUGAAUCUUUGAGCCAUCACUCAGUUGCGAUCAAACUGCCUGGAACCCACCCCACCCCGAUCGCCUGCUCGGACAAAAAUAACUGAAGCUCCCAUUGUUCAAACCAGCUUGUGUCAUGAUUUACUGUUACAGCACACUGAAGUCCUGAGCCCUCCGCCACCCGCAAGGCCUUCCUCGGAGACAGGGACCUAUCCAGAGAUGUCUCUGUCACUGUCAGGAUGCGCUGCAAGUGGACAAAGGGUUUCCUUCGUGUUGACCCUAAGAAGACCUCGACUUGAUCAAGGAAGAACUGAGCAUGGCUUGCAGUAGAGACAGUCACACACAGCUUCCCAUGAAUAGGUGUGGGCCUGAUCAUCUUAGCACCUUCUCUAGCCUUCAAGAAGCUCUCAAAAUCAGGGCCAUCUUGGUAUUUCACUAGCUGCUUCUUUCUUUUUUUGAUAUUUUAAGAGACAGGGACUUGCUAUGUUGCCCAGGUUGGACUUGUAUUCCUGGGCUCAAGCCAUUAUCCUGCCCCAGGGCUCCCAAGUAGCUGGGACUACAGGCCUGUGCCACCUCACCCACCCUCGCUGUUUAUUUCAAUGAACUGCAGGUUGAUGAUGAUCAAUCUUCUUUCCUAAUCUCCUGGUUGAAAUUAGGGAUAUUCAGAUUUUUUUGAAGUGGAGACUAUCAGGGUGUUAGAAGACCUAGUUCUGAACCUGCUCUCUGCUAACUUACCAUACGACUUUAGGCAAGUUGCUGCCCCACUAAGAACUUCAGUCUUAUCUGUGAAAUCAAGGGACUGGACUAAGUGGUCUCCGAGAUCCCCUCCAGCUGAAACCAUCUCCUGUACUGUCCACUAUUAUAGCAAAUAACCACACAUGGCUGAUUAAAUCUAAAUUAAUGAAAUAAAA
rnacentral:lncRNA from 1 species